GACGAACGCUGUCGGCGUGCUUAACACAUGCAAGUCGAACGAAGUGGCGAACGGGUGAGUAACGCGUAAUCAACCUGCCCUUCAGAGGGGGACAACAGGUGGAAACGACUGCUAAUACCGCAUACUGAAGGAGGGGAUUGCGUCGGAUUAGCUAGGUGGCGGGGUAACGGCCCACCAAGGCGCUGAUCAGUAGCCGGUUUGAUAGGAUGAACGGCCACCUUGGGACUAAGAAACGGCCCAGACUCCUGCGGGAGGCAGCAGUGGGGAAUCUUCCGCAAUGGACGAAAGUCUGACGGAGCAACGCCGCGGUAGUGAUGACGGCCUUCGGGUGGUAAAGCUCUGUUAAUCGGGACGCGGUACCGGAAUAGAAAGCCACGGCUAACUACGUGCCAGCAGCCGCGGUAAUAC
rnacentral:rRNA from 1 species